rnacentral:rRNA from 1 species
GACGAACGCUUGCGGCGUGCCUAAGAAAUGCAAGUCGAGCGGGGAGCAAUCCCAGCGGCGAACGGUCGCGUAACACGUAAGCAACCUGCCCAAAAGACCGGGACAACAGUUCGAAAGGACUGCUAAUACCGGAUGUGGCCGUUCUCUUGAGUGAGAGAGCGAUUAAAGCCUCGCAAGGGGGCUUUUGGAGGGGCUUGCGGCCUAUCAGCUAGUUGGCGGGGUAAGGGCCCACCAAGGCGACGACGGGUAGCUGGUCUGAGAGGAUGGUCAGCCGGAC